GAUGAACGCUGGCGGCAUGCCUAACACAUGCAAGUCGAACGGAGAUUAAGAAGCUUGCUUUUUAAUCUUAGUGGCGGACGGGUGAGUAACGCGUGAGUAACCUGCCUCUCAGAGGGGGAUAACGUUCUGAAAAGAACGCUAAUACCGCAUAUUAUCACAGAAUCGCAUGGUUUUGUGAUGAAAGGAGCAAUCCGCUGAGAGAUGGACUCGCGUCUGAUUAGCUAGUUGGUGAGGUAACGGCUCACCAAGGCGACGAUCAGUAGCCGGACUGAGAGGUUGAACGGCCACAUUGGGACUGAGACACGGCCCAG
rnacentral:rRNA from 1 species